CCUACGGGUGGCUGCAGUGAGGAAUAUUGGUCAAUGGGCGCGAGCCUGAACCAGCCAAGUAGCGUGAAGGAUGACUGCCCUACGGGUUGUAAACUUCUGUUAUAAAGGAAUAAAGUGAGGCACGUGUGCCUUUUUGUAUGUACGUUAUGAAUAAGGAUCGGCUAACUCCGUGCCAGCAGCCGCGGUAAUACGGAGGAUCCGAGCGUUAUCCGGAUUUAUUGGGUUUAAAGGGAGCGUAGAUGGGUUGUUAAGUCAGUUGUGAAAGUUUGCGGCUCAACCGUAAAAUUGCAAUUGAUACUGGCAGUCUUUAUUACCGUUGAGGUAGGCGGAUUUCGUGGUGUAGCGGUGAAAUGCUUAGCUCUCACG
rnacentral:rRNA from 1 species